GUUAGUUCUGAUCUUGUUGGUUCUGAUCUCUUGCUUCCCACUUGAGAGUGUGUGAUUUUGUGUUGUGAACCCUGAGAGCACCCUGAGAGGGUUUUGAGUUGACCUGAGCACUCUGGGACAGUGUCCAGAGUCUAGAGAAAGAUGAAAAAGGAGGAGGAUUUGGCUUGCGUGGGUAUCGAGAGGACUCUUGGCUUUGGCCACCGCUGUGAAAAUCUGGCAAGCAAUCAAAUCAUGGUUCUUCUAGGACUUCAGAACGCCCCUCAACUCUCAAGAACUCGCUCAAGCAAAAACGAAUAAAACCGCAUCUGUUUCGAAAACGA